rnacentral:snoRNA from 1 species
ACCUGCCGGUCAUGCUGACCAUUGCCACUGACAGGGCUACCAAGGUACACCGUAAACAGCUAGGCCGAGCUAAAGGGAUAGUU